rnacentral:rRNA from 1 species
AGCGAACGCUGGCGGCAGGCCUAACACAUGCAAGUCGAACGAAGUCUUCGGACUUAGUGGCGGACGGGUGAGUAACACGUGGGAACGUGCCUUUAGGUUCGGAAUAACUCAGGGAAACUUGUGCUAAUACCGAAUGUGCCCUUCGGGGGAAAGAUUUAUCGCCUUUAGAGCGGCCCGCGUCUGAUUAGCUAGUUGGUGGGGUAAUGGCCCACCAAGGCUACGAUCAGUAGCUGGUCUGAGAGGAUGACCAGCCACAUUGGGACUGAGACACGGCCCAAACUCCUACGGGAGGCAGCAGUGGGGAAUCGUGCGCAAUGGGCGAAAGCCUGACGCAGCCAUGCCGCGUGGAUGAUGAAGGUCUUAGGAUUGUAAAAUCCUUUCACCGGUGAAGAUAAUGACUGUAGCCGGAGAAGAAGCCCCGGCUAACUUCGUGCCAGCCGCCGCAGUAA